rnacentral:lncRNA from 1 species
GUGGUAUUACAUAUUUGUGUGGCUCACUUAAGAGGUGUCUAUGAGGAGGUUUAGGUUCAUGAGGUGCUCCCUUUCCCUUACCCUUGGAUGGUUUGUCACCGGGGAAUGGUUUCAUGGAUGGCUUACCGUCAGGGAAUCCUUCAACAUGUGGAGGUUUACCCCCUGAGUGUCGUGGAGGUUUAUGUGUGUCCUCAACUUCCACAUUCAAUAGGUGUCUAUGAGGAGGUUUGGGUUCAUGAGGUGCUCCCUUUCCCUUACCCUUGGAUGGUUUGUCACCAGGGAAUCCUUCAACAUGCGGAGGUUUACCCCCUGAAUGUCGUGGAGGUUUACCACCUGAUUGUUGUGGAGGUUUAUGUGUGCCCUCAACUUCCACACUCAAUAGGUGUCUGUGAGGAGGUUUGGGUUCAUGAGGUGCCCCUUUUCCCUUACCCUUGGAUGGUUUGUCACCAGGGAAUCCUUCAACAUGUGGAGGUUUACCCCCUGAAUGUCGUGGAGGUUUACCACCUGAGUGCUGUGGAGGUUUAUGUGUGCCCUCAACUUCCACACUCAAUAAGUGUCUAUGAGGAGGUUUGGGUUCAUGAGGUGCUCCCUUUCCCUUACCCUUGGAUGGUUUUUCACCAGGGAAUGGCUUCAUGGGUGCUUUAUCGGUAGGGAACCCCUCAACAUGUGGAGGUUUACCCCCCGAGUGUCUUGGAGGUUUACCACCUGAAUGUCGUGGAGGUUUAUGUGUGCCCUCAACUUCCACACUCAAUAAGUUUCUAUGAGGAGGUUUUUCCCCAUGUGGUGGCUCCUGUCCUUUACCGCCAGGUCCACUGUGUAUUGGCGGUCG